rnacentral:rRNA from 1 species
CCUACGGGAGGCAGCAGUGGGGAAUAUUGCGCAAUGGGCGAAAGCCUGACGCAGCGACGCCGCGUGAGGGAUGGAGGUUUUCGGAUCGUAAACCUCUGUUAUAAGGGAAGAAGUUGCAUGGGGCCAAUCACCUCUGCAUUGACGGUACCUUCAAAGGCAGCACCGGCUAACUCCGUGCCAGCAGCCGCGGUGAGACGGCGGGGGCGAGCUUUAAUCGGAUGUAUUGGGCGGAAAGCGCACGUAGGCGUUAUGUCAAGUGAAGGGUGAAAGCCCACGGCGCAACCGUGGAACUGCCUUUGAUACUGGCAAACUGGAGUGUGUAAGAGGGCGGCGGAAUUCCUGGUGUAGGAGUGAAAUCCGUAGAUAUCAGGAGGAACAUCAGUGGCGAAGGCAGCCGCCUGGCACGAAACUGACGCUGAGGUGCGAAAGCGUGGGUAGCAAACAGGAUUAGAUACCCCUGUAGUC